rnacentral:rRNA from 1 species
UACGGGGGGGGCAAGCGUUGUUCGGAAUUACUGGGCGUAAAGGGUUUGUAGGUGGCCGGCUAAGUCAGACGUGAAAUCCCUCAGCUUAACUGGGGAACUGCGUCUGGGACUGGUCGGCUUGAGGGCUGGAGAGGAAGGGGGAAUUCCCGGUGUAGAGGUGAAAUUCGUAGAGAUCGGGAGGAAUACCAGUGGCGAAGGCGCCCUUCUGGACGGCAACUGACGCUGAGACGCGAAAGCGUGGGGAGCGAACAGG